AUACGGGGGGUGCGAGCGUUAUUCGGAAUUACUGGGCGUAAAGAGCGCGUAGGCGGUCUUUUAAGUCAGGUGUGAAAGCCCGGGGCUCAACCCCGGAAGUGCACUUGAAACUAAGAGACUUGAGUAUGGGAGGGGGAAGUGGAAUUCCUGGUGUAGCGGUGAAAUGCGUAGAUAUCAGGAGGAGCAUCAGUGGCGAAGGCGACUUCCUGGACCAAUACUGACGCUGAGGCGCGAAGGCGUGGGGAGCAAACAGGAUUAGAAACCCUUGUAGUCC
rnacentral:rRNA from 1 species